GCGUACUGCACACCACACGAGUAUCUUCGAUUCGUUGUUUAUUUGGGUCAGAGUUGUGUAUUUUUGGGAACUAGGGUUUCUCUUUUCUUACAAAAUUUUCGAUUUUUGUAACCCUCAAUGUUUACGCACUCGCCCCGCUCUCCUUCUCUGAUUUUGGUCUCUUUCGAAUGCGAAGAGUUUCAGGUUUCUCCUUGAGAAAGGCAGAAGUAAAUGAGAGGAAAAGGAGUAUCCAUGGGUCAUUCUCAGCCUGGAACUUCUGGGAACAAGAGAAUGAAAAGUGGCAACACCAAAGGAAAUAUUGAUGAUUUUGUUCUCAUUGACGUUGACAGUGAUCUAUCUAGUAAUGUUGUUAUUAUUGAUGUUCCUGAGCCAUCUAUACAACGGGGGUUAAGAGGCUCUAGUGUACAGGGAAAAGAGAGAAAAUUUCCGCAUCAGGGUGUUAUUAGCAUUGAUGAUGAUGAAAGUGACGUGAUGGAUCAUCCUGGAUCUGGUGACAAAGGUGGUGGGGAAUUGGAUAGUGAUGCCACCUCAAGCAAAAGAUCUGGUCCUGCCACUAAGAAUAUGCAGAAUUUUAUAGAUUUAGAUGGUGAUGAAUGUUGGGUUGUUGAUGAAAAAGGAUCCUCAUUCAGGUUGUCGCAGUGCAAAAAGCAAACAUACUCAGAUAAAGCUGCCUGUAGGAAUCGCUAUGGUUUGUAUUUUGAGUCUGAGAUUGGUUCAUCUGAAAGCGAUUCUUCUGAUUCUGAGCUUAUGGAAGGUUCUUUUGGAAAAAUUCAUGAACAAUGGCAAAAAGCUUCCUUAAAGAGAAAGCAUGAUAUUCACAAUGGUCAAUCAGGCUUAGAUGAUCAGACUAGUAUUUCUGGUUCCCAUAUUGGCAAUCGUACCAAUAUUGAAGUAGAUAAUAGGACAGACAAGCACCCAGAGGUCCCUGUUUCUUCAAGUUCGAGUAGUGAGCUUUAUGAAAAAGAAAAUUUGUCUUCCUUUUUUGGGAGUGGUGGAGGAUACAAUGAGGGUACUUCUUUCAAUCCUGCUAUGGAAGGCCCUUCUGUAAAAUUUAAUCAGAGAGUUCACCAGACAUCUACUGACGAUCCUCCUCUUAGCUAUGACUGGCAAAGUUGCAAUCAUGUUAAUGGGUGUGGCAAUGGCUUUCUUAGCGGUGAAAGAAAUCCUCAAAGGCCUCCUUUGUGGACCAAUCAAAAUCAUAGUGAUAAGCAAUCUAAACGUACAAGGUCCACUCAAGAAGGUGAAAUAUGUGUUGAUCUUGAUGGAGCUGUAUUGAGGAACAAAGAUGGUGUGUUUCCUGAGGCACCUUCUAGUUGCAACAAUUUUGAUGAAAUGCAUGUAAAUAUUGAUAGAGCUGAAUCAAAUUUAGCUGAUGGUAGUGAAGAACUAGUUAACGGUGUUGUCAAUGAUUUUUACAAUGAACACAGUCCCCAGGAUUAUUUUUUUGGGUCCAAUCAAGAUCAAGGUGCUAAAAACACCAAGUAUAAGAAUUCCAAUGAAGACGAUGUUGAAAGACAUGCUAAUCUUGAUGAAUGUAUAUUGAGGAAAAAAGAUGAGGAGUUUCACCAGGGAUCCAGUUAUAAUAAUAUUGAUGACAAAGACAGAGGCGUACUGAAUUCUCAAUUAUCUGGUGAAAUGCGGGUUGAUUGUAGUGGUGCUCAUCCUGAGUAUGCAGAUAGUACUGCUCAUGGAGAAUCUUUCUUUCGUGACACCCCUUUGGAAGGCAAGUCAGGAGUGAGUAAUGGAAAACCUUUCGUUGAGGAAAAGGGGAAAACAGAUUCUGAAAAAUUAUUAUUUAGCAACACUCAAUGCAAGGAAAUCCAUUUUGUGGAAGCAAAGGUGACUUGUGAUGUAAGGGGUCAAUUACUUACUCAAGAUGUCGAUGUUACUCCCCAAGGUCAGAUAGAUAUUAUCAACGAACGCGAAAAGCUCAAGGAGACUGAUGAAUACAAGCGAGCAAUAGAAGAAGAAUGGGCCUCCCGGCAGCGCCAGUUGCAAAUUCAGGCAGAAGAGGCACAGAGGUUACGCAAGAAAAGAAGAGUUGAAAGGCGUUUAGUGGAUAUGCAGAGAAGGCAACAGCAACGUGUUCAAGAAAUGAGAGAGACUCAAAAGAAGGAUGAGGAAAAUAUGAACCUGAAAGAGCAAAUUCGUGUUGAAAUAAGGAAGGAGCUUAAUAGAUUGGAAAUGUCGUGCAUUGAUAUGGCCUCAUUGCUUCGUGGCUUAGGAAUCCAAGUUGGAGGCGGUUUUUAUCCUUUGUCACAAGAGGUGCAUGCGGCUUAUAAACGAGCCGUGUUAAAAUUUCACCCAGAUCGAGCAUCAAAAACUGACAUACGCGAGCAGGUUGAAGCUGAAGAAAAAUUUAAGCUUAUUUCUCGCAUGAAGGAGAAAUUUUUGGCGACUUUGUGUUACUGAAUACGAAUAGAAGGGGUAUUAUUUAUUUUUAUUUUUAUUUAUAAAAUUCACCAAUUUUCUCGGUGGCAUUGAUUAUAGACUUUUGUCUCAUGGUUAGUGAUUUUAUUUCAUAUAGUAUUUGAUGUCUCGGAGCCAGGUUGCUACCAGCUUUGAGGUUGGAGGUGACAACAUGAACAGCCUAGUUUUGGCAUCUGCGAACUGCAGCAUUGGAUCCUCCCUCCUCCCUCCCAGCUACAAAAAAAAGAAAAAUAACGAACUGCAGCAUUGGAUUCUCCCUCCUCCCUCCCAGCUAGAAAAAAGAAAAAUAAACUGAGGGUAAAUGAUCUUUUCUCCAGGGAGCUAUAUUUCAAUUCACCCGUUAUCGUGCAGAUUAGUCAUUUCAAAUU